AGACGGAGGGAGCAAGCGUUGCUCGGAAUCACUGGGCGUAAAGGGCGUGUAGGCGGGACAGCAAGUCGGGUGUGAAAGCCCUGGGCUCAACCCAGGAAGGGCAUUCGAUACUACUGUUCUUGAGUAUGACAGAGGAAAGCGGAAUUCCCGGUGUAGCGGUGAAAUGCGUAGAUAUCGGGAAGAACACCUGUGGCGAAGGCGGCUUUCUGGGUCACAACUGACGCUGAGGCGCGAAAGCUAGGGGAGCGAACGGGAUUAGAUACCCCAGUAGUCC
rnacentral:rRNA from 1 species